rnacentral:snRNA from 1 species
UUCUCACCUUUCUGAAAUCAAAGACAACAAAAACUAUAACCUAGAUCUUUCAUGUGGCAUGGCCCCUGCACAAGGAUGGCACGCAAAUUCGUGAAGCAUUCCAUAUUUUU